rnacentral:rRNA from 1 species
GAUGAACGCUGGCGGCGUGCUUAACACAUGCAAGUCGAACGAUGAAGCCCAGCUUGCUGGGUGGAUUAGUGGCGAACGGGUGAGUAACACGUGAGUAACCUGCCCUUGACUCUGGGAUAAGCCUGGGAAACUGGGUCUAAUACUGGAUAUGACUUCUCAUCGCAUGGUGGGGGGUGGGAAGAUUUAUUGGUCUUGGAUGGACUCGCGGCCUAUCAGCUUGUUGGUGAGGUAAUGGCUCACCAAGGCGACGACGGGUAGCCGGCCUGAGAGGGUGACCGGCCACACUGGGACUGAGACACGGCCCAGACUCCUACGGGAGGCAGCAGUGGGGAAUAUUGCACAAUGGGCGCAAGCCUGAUGCAGCGACGCCGCGUGAGGGAUGACGGCCUUCGGGUUGUAAACCUCUUUCAGUAGGGAAGAAGCGAGAGUGACGGUACCUGCAGAAGAAGCGCCGGCUAACUACGUG